CCCUAACAACACACAACAUUCCAGGAAUGUACUACCAAAGUUCUAUCAAUAUUUGAAUGUCCUGGACAUUUAGGGAACAUUCGGUGAACAUAUGUUUAAAUUAUUCCUGGAAUGUUACCAUAAGACAUUCUGUGAACAUACUACCAAUGUUCCUAUAUUUUAAGUUGCGAAAUAAUACAUACGUGUAACAGAUACAACAUUACUUAUAACAUACCAGACAAACUAAGUGACACUUUAGGCCUACAGUGCAAUAAUAUGUCAAAUUUAAAGAGUUUCCCAAGUUCAAUUAAUACAAUAUUAUAAACAUACAAAUGUAAUAAAAAUUAUUGUUCGCGAAUAUUCAAUUUGGAAUGCGAUUUUGUUAAUAAAAAAAAUACUUAUAACUUAUGCAAAACCCAAGAGAGGCAUUUAUAUUUAUUUCUUUUGCGUUCAUUUUCAAAUUCGCCGUGCAUAUAUUUUUGUGCAUGGCGCUUGAGAGGGCAUCACGUGACUAAAAACGACCAACCAACGACCUCGCUUCGGCCAUCUUGGCAUCUUCAUCUUGGCCACCUUGCUUUGCCGUGGGUGGAUCGUUGUUUCUAUUAUUUGUGCUUUUUAAGAAUAUUUUUUUAAUUCGGAUACUUUUAUAAUAGCUUUAAUAGUAUUAUUAACAUAGUGAAUAAAAUGGUGUCCUGUUUUUAACGCAGUUGGAGUAGCAGAAACAAAUGUAGAUAAAAAAAUCUGCAGGAAUAACGUUUCAAUUAUGACAGAAGCUCCAAACAAAUGACUGUGAAUGAAAAGCCCUAUUAAAAGCUUUCCAGAAGAUCCUGCGAAGAAGACAUGAACUAUAGAUCAGAUUUGUUAAUAGAGGAGUAUGUUCAAAACACUUUUUAGAAAAAGAUAUUGACAGAACUUCACUUUCAUCUGUUCGUUUAAGAGACUGUGCUGUUCCAAUAGCUUAUGUCACACAGAAUCAGCUGAGAGAAGUGGUCUACAAAAAACCAGAAAGGAAACAGAAUAUGUGGCUACGAAAAGCAAAAGAAAGGUUUACAAAGCAAAUGUGACACAUUUUUUUAUAAUAUUUAGGAAUGUCAGUAAAUUACAUUAAAAAAUGUAUGUAAAGAUUUUUUGCAAUAAAAAUGUUUAUAUUUA
rnacentral:lncRNA from 1 species